rnacentral:rRNA from 1 species
UACAGAGGAUGCAAGCGUUGUCCGGAUUUAUUGGGCGUAAAAGGCUUGUAGGUGGCCACGCCAAGUCGGAUGUGAAAUCUCCCGGCUCAACUGGGAGGGGUCAUUCGAUACUGGCGGGCUCGAGGCCGGUAGGGGGAAGUGGAAUUCCCGGUGUAGUGGUGGAAUGCGUAGAUAUCGGGAGGAACACCAGUGGCGAAGGCGGCUUCCUGGACCGGUUCUGACACUGAGGAGCGAAAGCGUGGGGAGCGAUCCGG